rnacentral:rRNA from 1 species
GACGAACGCUGGCGGCGUGCUUAACACAUGCAAGUCGAACGGAGAGGCCCUGCUUUUGUGGGGUGCUCGAGUGGCGAACGGGCGAGUAACACGUGAGUAACCUGCCCUUGACUUUGGGAUAACUUCAGGAAACUGGGGCUAAUACCGGAUAGGAGCUCCUGCUGCAUGGUGGGGGUUGGAAAGUUUCGGCGGUUGGGGGUGGACUCGCGGCUUAUCAGCUUGUUGGUGGGGUAGUGGCUUACCAAGGCUUUGACGGGUAGCCGGCCUGAGAGGGUGACCGGCCACAUUGGGACUGAGAUACGGCCCAGACUCCUACGGGAGGCAGCAGUGGGGAAUAUUGCACAAUGGGCGGAAGCCUGAUGCAGCAACGCCGCGUGCGGGAUGACGGCCUUCGGGUUGUAAACCGCUUUCGCCUGUGACGAAGCGUGAGUGACGGUAAUGGGUAAAGAAGCACCGGCUAACUACGUG